rnacentral:piRNA from 1 species
UAAGACUUCCAAGCUAAAACGGUGUUAACAG